GCGAGGCUGGAGGCUGGGAGGCUGCGUCUGCGGGCGCGCCAGGAGCCGAAGCAGCGAGCGAGCGCUCUGCAGAGGGUGGUGGACGCUGCUGAAGGUGAGCAAGACCCCGGGGGCAGUCCCCAAUGUCCCGGGGCAACGCCCAGUCCGUUAGAAGACCCAGGGACAAUGCCCAAAUUUGGGGGAAACUGGGGGCAAUGCCCAGUCGUUUUCCUAGACUCGAGAGAAGACUGCCCACGUCCUGGCGGACGCACUGCCGAACCAAGUGUGUUUGGGGAGUACAGAGAUAAAUUUCCCAAAUCCGAGGAGCUCGGGGGACUCCGUAGGAAACUCGGAGAGGCCCGAAACUAGUGGUGCUGUGCGCGGGGUUGGGGCCGGGAACGACGCGCAGAUACCGGGGGACGCAAGUCAGAGCUCCGUGCGAUUUGCGGGCCGAGAAAAUGAGCGUGCCGAAGUCGGGCGCCCAGGAGAGGCUCCGCUGAUGCGGGGAACUGUGCUUACUGACUAAAUUCGAGAUUCCAGAAAGAGAGUCCACGUCUGGAGCAUCAGGGGAAAUUGCUCCGUGCAACUGGGGGACAAAAGAUCCGAGUCUAAAAAGUGGGGAACCCAGCAUAUUGGUCAGCAAGCCUGGGAGGAACCCCAGACCAACUUGUGGGGGAGGUGGGUUUGGGGGUGAGUCAAGGAAAAUUCUCAACAUGAAACUUGGGGGGACCCAAGAGGCAUGUUGUCUAAAAUUGGCGAAAAAAACAACAGACACAUUUUGGGGAUCUAGGCAAAUUCUCCAGGGCGGUGGGGGAAAGUAGACAUUGAUUUUCACGAUUUAGAAAUCCAGGAGUGGGUGGAUGCUUGCCCCCAGGAAAGUGACCUCCACAUUGUCAUGACUUCAGCAAAAGUUCUCUGUCCUUGAGAGGGUCAAAAAACACGUCUAAGUUUGGGGGAACCUGAGGUGUGUUCAAUACAUUCCGGGAAUGCAGAAAAUCAAUGUCCUUUUUAAUUUUAAUUUUCUAUUGAUUUCCGUUAGUUUGUUUUUGGUGAACAGGAAAAAAAUAUCCUGUUUUUCUGGGCACUGUUUGCAUUUGGGGAACUCUAGCAAAGCAUGACCCACGUUUUAGGGAUCCAUGAAAAUGUUCAAUAGAGAUGGAUAUCUAAAUUUCAAGAACCCUGGUUAGGAUUGAGGAAGCUUCUAGAACACAGGCCUAUGAUGCCCAGGAGUUCUAGGACCCCGGGAUAUUUUUUGGUCCCUGGACAUUUUAAUUUUGGGGGGCCCAGGGAAAAUUGCCUAAAUUUAGAGGCACUCUGGGCAAGGGUCGUAAAUUCAGGCAACACAUAAAUCAGUGUCCAAAAAAAGCUCAAUUGGUUUGUGGAAGAAAAAAAAAAAAAUCUCAGUUUGUUUUGAAGGGCUGGAAGACAGCCUGUCAAUUUGGAGACCCCAGGAAAAUAAUUUUUGAAUCUGGGGAUCCAGAGAAGGUGCUCAGAGUCCUCAGGAGAACUGGGGGGUCAAUAGCUAAGUUUUAGGGGAAAAAAGAUUAAUAAGAGUUCCUAGAUUGUGGGGCCUGGAGAAUCGAUGUCCAAAAUUUGUGAUCUGCAGGGCGCGUGCAGGGUGCGGGAGACCCAGGAAACGUUGCUGAAAUUUGGAGUCACUCAGUGGGUGCGUGGGACCCUUUGGAACAUGGGAAAUCGGUGCCUUUCUGUGAUAGGGGGGUAAUACUGAAUGUGUUUGAGGGGCCUGCAGGACUAUGCCUAAUAUUUGAGAGAGCCCCGCAUGUCCAAAUCACAGAGGAUCAGGCAUAGAGUCCAGUGUCCUCCUGGGACUUGGGAGCAGUGUCCGAAUUUUAGAAAACAGAUUCUUGUCAGUAAGCCAGUGGGACCCAGAGAAUGUUUUAAUGUUCAAAAUGUUAUAAUGCAGAGAAAAUGUUUCGGAUGUUUGCGGACUGGGGACAGUCCACAGAGCCUGGGAUCACAAGCUGUAGGCUCUGAGCAAGGGUUUGUUUCGUGUGUGGUGUGACCCAGGGGGACCUGUGAGACCCUGUGUGGUUUGGGGGACCCUGCAGAAGCCCGGGCCACAAUGGAGCGCAUCUCAGGGUAUUGCUCAGUGUGCCUUCGGGGGCCUGGGUAACUGUCAAAACGUUAAGGAACCUGAUUAGUGCCCGGGGAGCUUGGAGAGCCCCAGAAAUGCGUGCCCCAAGUCUUCAUGGUCCACAAAAAAAAAAAAAAAUUGCUUAGUGAGUUCUGGGCAUCAGGAGUCAUCCUCUGAAUUUUGUGGAACUCAGGAAAUCAGAGCGCACAUUGUUAGUGAUCCGGAAAAGGGUUUGGUGCGCUUUGGGUGUAAAGUCUGAAUUUUGGUGGAGGCACAGGAAGCAGCCCCCAGACUCUGAGGGUUCGGGGCGGAGGGGGGGAAUUCCUUAGUGUGUUGGGGGAACCUGGGAUUCUUUGCGUAAAAUUUCAGGAACCCAGGUUAGGAGCUAAUAAACACGUGGAACUCAGCGGAUAAUGUCACCAAUUGUGGUGUAUCAGGGAACAGGGCUGCAGUGCGGAGGACCCAGAGCAGGGACAGUAAGCUUGGGAGACCCUGUAGUUAAUGUGCAAAAUUAUGGGGAUAUAAUCGUUUACGUGCACUUGUUUGGGGAACAAUGCCUUAAGUGCCAGAAAAACACUGCCCACAUUUGGGGAGCCAGGCAAACUGGUCAGCGUGACCCGGACCCGGGGCUCGUGUUUAAAUUUUAGGGGAUCCCGGUUGGCAGUGAGUAAAGGUGUAGAACCUGGAGAGGGAUAUGUAAAACUCUUAAGAGCCUGGAGAAAACGCUCGCUGAGUUUGGGGACCCAGACCACUAGUGGAAAUCUGAGGGAGCCGGUGGCGGCUUGAUGUGUUUGGAGGUCCCCGGAAAUUAACGUCCAAGAAAACUCUCAUGACCUGGAGAAACGCUGAAUAUAUUUGGAGGACCUGAGAGCAAGGCUUAAAUUGGAAGGAUCCCAGAAAAAAUAAUGUCCGCAUUUGUGGGGAGCAGCGAAGUGUCUCCGUGGGUUGGGACCCUGGAGAUGGAGGGCUACGUUGAGAGGCCAAACUCCCCGGGCGGACCAGGGAAGCAACGCGCCGCUGGAGAUCCACUGCGUCUGGGGACUCGAGCGGUGCAGUGGCGCCCUCCCCGGGGGACCCGAGCGCGGGCCGCGCGGCGGCGGCGGCUCCGGGGCGAGGGCGCGGGCAGGUAGCGCGGGGCUCCCUGGGGCGCGCGCCCCGGCGGAAUGGAAUCUUUCUCUUGCCUUCUCGCCACCGAGGGCGCUUCUCUGGCGGAAGCCCGGGCGAGCGGGCGUCGGGGUGGAAGGGAGAAACCCGAGAGCCGCGAGGGAGCCACAGGGCGCUGCUCCCCGGACGCUCCUCGGGCUCCCGGGUCCCCGCUCGGCCGCCUCCGAGGAGGCCCGCGGGCUCCCCGCCGCCGCCGCGCCCCACGCGCUCCCGCGCUGCGAGCCUAGGCGAAGCCGCGACCGGGCCGCCGCCGCGGGCAGGCUCGUCCCCGGCUCGGCUGGGGGGCCCCCGGGAGCACCCCCGGCAGUCACCCCCGCGCGCCCCGGGACUCCGCGAGCGCCGUUCUGGCCUUAGCCAGUCCCCAAACAACGCGGAAACCAAUUUUGUUAUGGUAAUGUGAGAGAAGAACAGCUGAGGGAGAAGACGAGAAAAAUGGGGGAGAGUUUUAGGGGGGCAGAACUGCACGGUGGCGGGGUGCCUGGGGUCACCUUUCGUUUUCUCUUAAGAGAAUUUUCACGCAAAGCCGCCCUAUCCGGCUGGGAAAGUCCAGUUCCUUAAAGGCAAAUAUUGGACCAGGCAGAGCAAGGCGCUGCUGGCUGGAACAGGAUCAGCCCAUCGGAAUUGGGCAAUGUUGGGGGUGGGGGCUAGCCACCUGGGGGAUCUGUGGGGUGGGGGCUGCCAGAGAGGAGGUGCUGCUGGGGAGCAGCGGAAUGGUGGGGGUCCUGGGACCAGUAUGGUCGGCAUUGCUGGUCCCCACUGUCACCCCACAGAGGGACCCUGGCUAGAAGAGGAGCAGCUCAAAGCCUGCCGCUCUGGGGAAGCAGGGGUUAAUGCCAUUGGACAGGUGUGGGGACCCUGGCAGGGCUGACGCAGCCCUUUCACAUUAGCUUGGCAAGACAGGGAGACCGCUCCCCCCCCCCCCCCCCCGCAAAACAGCCCGUUUCCACCCAGAGCUGAAGGCACGUGGGGAAUGUUCCCCCUUCAAAUUCCAGUCCGCAUCAAUCACCCCAUGUCCCAUUCCAAGAACAUCUGGCCUGGCUCCCCCCAUCGCUGCCCCUUCCCCUCUCCACCAGCCUUCUGCAGUGUCAGUGCCUGGCUUCCAGGCCCCUGUGGGUGUGCCCGAGGGAGGGAGGGCCAGGAGGGACCCUCGGCAGAGAAGCCCCCCGGUGUCCUGCCCUUGCUCCCCACUUCUCCAACGCGACUUGUAGAUGGUGGGGUGGGGAGCAUUAAAAAGGGCCUGUCUGCUAACCCGGGUCCCUGGGAACCCAGAGCAGAUUUCAAAUCCUCCAUGAGAGACUGUGCUCAAGGACAGACAAACAGAUGCCUGCCGGGCUGCCUUUGGCCCUGCUCUGGGGCCUCCACUUUCCUCGAGGCCUGCUUCCCAGGCUGGGGGUGGGUGGGUGCUGGGGUGAGGGCCCCAUUUCAGAGUGUGCGCUUUCCGCCUCCUGGGGGUGCCCAGGGGCAAUCCCACCAGUGGUCCACUGGGGGGGGGGGGCCUCUCCUGCUGUCUUCCCUGCACAGGCGCCAGUUCUGGAGGAACCUCUGCCCAUGCUUGAUGAUGUGCGCCUGGACCCUGGAGGGCGCCUGCCCCGGAGGCUCAGCUCUGGGAGGGACGCACCCGCGUGUCAGCCCUGGCUGAAGGCAGGGGACCGAGGCCCCAGCCGGAACCACCAGGACCUGAGCACAAGCCGCCCUAGGCACAGGGCACCACAAGCCCCUGACCGAUAAACCCAAAAGCCAAAAGAGCUCCCCUCCAGAGGACCAUGGCCACCGCCCAGACUGCAGGGGACCUGCUCUGCCCACACCUGAGCCCCCCGGGGAGAGAGGCACCUGGACUUGACCACCUGAAUCCCAGAUACCAGCUGUGUGACGCUGAAUACACCCCCAGCCUCUCUGAGCCUCUGCUCCGUGUGAAAGAGCAGACUGGAACUACAACUGUCUGGGGAGCUCCCAGCACAGAAGGAAAUCAUGCCCCUGGACAGAGCCUGACACACGGAGAGCUGUACCAGUGGACACCUCGUUCCUGCCCUGG